ACGCUCGACACCUACAGGAGGCAGCAGUGGGGAAUAUUGCACAAUGGGGGAAACCCUGAUGCAGCGACGCCGCGUGAGUGAAGAAGUAUUUCGGUAUGUAAAGCUCUAUCAGCAGGGAAGAAGAUGACGGUACCUGAGUAAGAAGCCCCGGCUAACUACGUGCCAGCAGCCGCGGUAAUCUGAGGCGGGCUGGCAAGGC
rnacentral:rRNA from 1 species